UACGAAGGGGGCUAGCGUUGCUCGGAAUUACUGGGCGUAAAGGGAGCGUAGGCGGACUGUUUAGUCAGAGGUGGAAAGCCCAGGGCUCAACCUUGGAAUUGCCUUUGAUACUGGCAGUCUUGAGUACGGAAGAGGUAUGUGGAACUCCGAGUGUAGAGGUGAAAUUCGUAGAUAUUCGGAAGAACACCAGUGGCGAAGGCGACAUACUGGUCCGUUACUGACGCUGAGGCUCGAAAGCGUGGGGAAGCAAACAGGG
rnacentral:rRNA from 1 species